GACGAACGCUGGCGGCGUGCUUAACACAUGCAAGUCGAACGGAAAGGCCCUGCUUUUGUGGGGUGCUCGAGUAGCGAACGGGUGAGUAACACGUGAGUAACCUGCCCUUGACUUUGGGAUAACUUCAGGAAACUGGGGCUAAUACCGGAUAGGAGCUCCUGCUGCAUGGUGGGGGUUGGAAAGUUUCGGCGGUUGGGGAUGGACUCGCGGCUUAUCAGCUUGUUGGUGGGGUAGUGGCUUACCAAGGCUUUGACGGGUAGCCGGCCUGAGAGGGUGACCGGCCACAUUGGGACUGAGAUACGGCCCAGACUCCUACGGGAGGCAGCAGUGGGGAAUAUUGCACAAUGGGCGGAAGCCUGAUGCAGCGACGCCGCGUGCGGGAUGACGGCCUUCGGGUUGUAAACCGCUUUCGCCUGUGACGAAGCGUGAGUGACGGUAAUGGGUAAAGAAGCACCGGCUAACUACGUG
rnacentral:rRNA from 1 species